rnacentral:rRNA from 1 species
GAUGAACGCCGGUGGCGUGCCUAAUACAUGCAAGUCGAGCGAACAGAUGAGGAGCUUGCUCCUCUGACGUUAGCGGCGGACGGGUGAGUAACACGUGGAUAACCUACCUAUAAGACUGGGAUAACUUCGGGAAACCGGAGCUAAUACCGGAUAAUAUAUUGAACCGCAUGGUUCAAUAGUGAAAGACGGUUUUGCUGUCACUUAUAGAUGGAUCCGCGCCGCAUUAGCUAGUUGGUAAGGUAACGGCUUACCAAGGCAACGAUGCGUAGCCGACCUGAGAGGGUGAUCGGCCACACUGGAACUGAGACACGGUCCAGACUCCUACGGGAGGCAGCAGUAGGGAAUCUUCCGCAAUGGGCGAAAGCCUGACGGAGCAACGCCGCGUGAGUGAUGAAGGUCUUCGGAUCGUAAAACUCUGUUAUUAGGGAAGAACAAAUGUGUAAGUAACUAUGCACGUCUUGACGGUACCUAAUCAGAAAGCCACGGCUAACUACGUG